GUCGUCCCUCGAUGGAUAUUUGCUUGCCUUUCCGACGCACUGUCGUCCGGGCGGCCGAAUUGUUGGCGAAAUCCCUGUGUCGGUGCGCGGUCGGACGCCGCGUUGCUAUCGCUUGGAUUUCUGCCGGCUCUCACGGAUGCGGUGCCUAUUGCCAGCUCUGCGGGGCUCUGCCCCGCAGACUUCGGGAGGUCCCUCGCGCGCAUCACUGCUCUCAUACGCCGUCUGUCGUGUUGCCGGUGGCKACKCGCAGAUCGUGUUCUGCCGUGCUGUAGUUAACGACGCGCCAGAACAAAGUGUCCGGAGCGUKCUCNGCG
rnacentral:misc_RNA from 1 species